UUGUAAAUUAUAACUCAAUGUUAACAAAAAUUAACUUAAAAUGUAUAAAGCACAUUUAAAUUAUACCCAAAGUAUGUAGAGUGUAAUCUAAGUAAAAUAAAGCAUUUGUUUCUCAAAGAUGUAAUGUUUUGUAGCUACUCUGAGCGUUAAUUAGUUUUACUAAAGUGAGGACACAUAAGUAGGCAUUAAUCUAAUGGCUGUGUUUUACUUAAGGUAACGUCAAUUCUUUGCACAUCUUUUAAACUAAACUGUACAGUUACACAAAAUUGUUGUUUUCGUUUAAAUUAUCGUAAUAUUAUAAAUGGGAUACGUAAAUAAAAGCAUAAA